GCCGCCAGGCGGCGCUCUUCUCCCGUCGCAGUUGCGGGGUGGCGGCGCGCGCCUUUCUGGAAGGUUCGGGCGCUGCCGCGUGCUCUGCGGAGCCGCCCGCCGCCGCCGUGAGGGGCCCGUGGCCUGUGCCCGGUGAGGGCCGCCGCCUCCCGCUCCCCCCCCUUCCCCCAGCACCGACCCGGCCGCUGCCGCCCCUCCGGCCCAGCGACAGCGCGGGGCCGCAGUGCCCGCAGGCCUGGGCGGCAGCGGGGAGGGGUAACGGGCGGGAUCGGGCCCUUCCCAGCUGCUCUCCCGGACAUUCCUGGGAUGCUCCUGCCCUCGCCUGACUCGGAGGAACCGAGUGCGGCCCUUCCCGGGGUGCCCAAGUACCCUCCCGGGGCUCAGCGGGUGCAGCAGGUUCAUGUGCUGGAGGAUGGCGGCUUUCUUGUUCUCUUGAAGAUUUCCUGAAUGAUGGGAUUUUCCAACACCUGAACCGGGGUGGAAGUUUCAUAACCGAGUAACCAGGCAAGUUAUGUCAGCACAACCAGCAGAUAACCGCAGCAAGUGUCACAGCCGCUGUGUAGGAAUCACAGACUCACAGAGUGGUGGGGGUUGGAAGGGACCUCUGGAGAUCAUCCCGUCCCACCCCUGCUGGAGCAGGCACACCCGGAGCAGGGGCACAGGGCUGCGUCCAGGCGGGGUGUGAAUGUCUCCAGGGAAGGGACCCCACAGCCUCUCUGGGAGCCUGUGCCACUGCUCUGGCACCCGCACGGGAAAGGAGUUCUUUCUCAUAUUCAGGUGGAAGUGCCUGUGUUCCAACUUGUGCCCGUUGCCCCUUGGCCUGUCGUUGGGCACCACUGAAAAGAGUCUGGCACCAUCCUCUUAUCCUCGUAACGGAGAUGCUCCAGUCCCCUGGUCAUCUUGGUAGCUCUCCACUGGACUUGCUUAAGCAGUUCCCUGUCUUUCUUAAACUGCGGGGCCCAAAACUGAACACAGGACUCCAGAUGUGGCCUCACUAGGGAAGGUGUGGGCACGCUGGGGCAGAAGGCGUGUUUGGUCCCACCCAUGGCAGAAGCACUAAUGUGUGCCUCAGAGAGACACCCCACCACCCCACCCCCUGGUGUGGUGUCCCUCAGAGGCCCCACAGUAAUAGACUGUGAAGAGACCAAGACAUUGUGAAAUAUGUCACUAUAAAAACCAGGCACCAGGCAGUGCUUUUUUUCCUAAACAUAAUCUUACCACACUGUUUGGUUUUUUUUUUUCCCUCGUUUGUCUUUUUUUCUAUCUCUUUUAUUGGCAGAAAUAAAUGUCAGUGUAUCUCCUGUGA